rnacentral:rRNA from 1 species
ACGGGUGCGUAACGCGUGGGAAUCUGCCCUUGGGUUCGGAAUAACAGUUAGAAAUGACUGCUAAUACCGGAUGAUGACUUCGGUCCAAAGAUUUAUCGCCCAGGGAUGAGCCCGCGUAGGAUUAGCUAGUUGGUGAGGUAAAGGCUCACCAAGGCGACGAUCCUUAGCUGGUCUGAGAGGAUGAUCAGCCACACUGGGACUGAGACACGGCCCAGACUCCUACGGGAGGCAGCAGUGGGGAAUAUUGGACAAUGGGCGAAAGCCUGAUCCAGCAAUGCCGCGUGAGUGAUGAAGGCCUUAGGGUUGUAAAGCUCUUUUGCCAGGGAUGAUAAUGACAGUACCUGGAGAAUAAGCUCCGGCUAACUCCGUGCCAGCAGCCGCGGUAAUACGGAGGGAGCUAGCGUUGUUCGGAAUUACUGGGCGUAAAGCGCGCGUAGGCGGCUUUGUAAGUUAGAGGUGAAAGCCCGGGGCUCAACCCCGGAACUGCCUUUAAAACUGCAUCGCUUGAAUCCGGGAGAGGUGAGUGGAAUUCCGAGUGUAGAGGUGAAAUUCGUAGA